CAGAGGAUGUGGAAGUGGCAGCAGGGAGCUUGUCCUGCUCUGUUGAUGCUUUGGCUGGAAAACCCCAGUGUUCCAGCCAGGCAGAGCCCUGCUGUGGUGUCACUGCCAUGAGUGGAGACUUCACAAUGCCACACAGCACCAGAUUUUCCAUUUUAGCCUGGGAGACAGAAGAUCUGUAUAAAUAUGCCUCUCCCAGUACAUCUUCAUUUGCAAUAUUUAUUGCUCUUUGUGCAAAGGCUCAGCAGUGGGGACAAUCUCCUGAUUCAGAGUCAUCUUCUCUUGGAGGGACCUGGACCUUCUGUGCUUUAUGGACUGACCCUUCCCAAGUCCUGGCCUUACAGGGCUCUUCCUCUCUCUGCUCCCACACCUGAGUGGGAUCUGCUCCUGCCCUAAACCUGAGUUCAACUCUCUGGGUCAGAUCCAGAGGCUCAGACCUUUCCCAGCUCUGCCAAGAGAUGACCAGGAGACCCUGGACGCAAGAGGAGAGAGAAACAGAGUUUUUUGUGCCUGGAAGGUGCCCUGAUGAGGACAGGCCAGUGUGGACUGCACAAGACACUCACUGGGCAGCAAGAAAAGAGCCUGAGGUGCUUUGGCUCCAGCUCCACGGCUUUGGCCCCUGCCAGGGAUCAGGGACAGCCCAGGCAGGAGGGGGAAGCUCCCUUCCUGCUCUGGCAGGGCUGGGUGGUCUGCAGAGCUCCUUUCAGCCUCAGGGACUGAGGCACCUCACAAUGCUCUCAUACUCUUGUUCUCUGGAGACCCCUUGUUCUCUGCCCCUCACCCAGGAGUGAAGGAUGAGAUCCUGUAUUUCACACAGGAAAUCCUGAAGCCUCAAAAUCUGACUUGCUAUGAAAAGUGCAUGCUGGUGUUAGAUGAUAGGAUUCUGGGCUAAUAUGAGCCAGAUUUGACUUUGGGAUGUGACUCUUUAGAACCCUGUUGAGCUGCCUGCCAGUGCUCUCAGCUGCAGAAAAGCUCCAGCCCUGCUGCUCCAUGGAGAUCACCUUAACCUGGUGUGUAUCCUCAGCUGAAGUUUCAGUGCACAAUUCUCUCAAACAAGUUCAGUCUGUUUUUCUGAAGGCUCCUGACCUCCAAAGGCAGGUUCCACGGCUCACACGAGCACUUGUUUGCAGCACGGUUUCUGUUUUAUCUCCCGCUGCAUUUCUGGAAAAGCAGGGACACUAAAAAGCUUCCGUAGGCAGGGAUGUGAGUGGGAGCUGUACUGGUAAAAUUAUACCGGUGGUGUAAUUAUCCUGAUCAAUUUUCCAUAUAAAAGAGACUUCAGAAGAACUCAUUUGUUUAACUAUGUAAGCCUCAGCCUUUACUCCAGUGGCAUCUCUGUUCACCAAUCAACAUAAUGAACAUAGGCAAUUAAGGUGCACCAGAAACCUGGUUACAUUUCCUAAAGGCAUUUCCCAAUGUCCAAAUGCUUGAUUUGCAAAAUUAAUGAGCUGCUGAAGUCCCAUGGUAUAAAUCAGCACAUCUCGACUGACUUCAGAUGAGAUCCCCUCAUCCAGCUGAAGGUUGGGUCCUUUGUUAGCCAUGGGCUGCUCUGGGAAGCAGAAUGAUGGUUAUUUUCAAUAUUUGCAGUUUGAUCCUGGAAGUUAAUUUGGACAGUGUACCCAGUGAUUUAAUUAAAUAGCAGCCUGGGCACGAGCACUCAUACAAAGGGGAAAAAAAGGCUUUUUCCUGUGGGCUGAGUUGUGCCUAGUGAGGUGCCCCACUGUGAUGGGCAGACUUGCAGCCCCUCAUUCCAUCCAGGCAAAUUUCUUCCCAGCAAAGUGGGUACAAAGUGAUGUGCCCCCCCACCCCAGACGCCGGGGAGCAGCAGAGCCCCUGUGAGCAGUGGGAUUCUGUGGCUGUGGCACCUUUGCCAUUUGCUGGGUGAGUCCCAUGGAAGCGCAGCAAAGAUUCUGCUCCUCGAUUGCUCAGCAGCAGAAAGUGAAGGGAUGUCAGGUCCUCUGCUCACAACUGUGUUGGCUGAUGCUGCCCUCAGGGGGUGAGACUCCUCCUCAAACCUCUCAAGUGUUUGUGGCUGAUUUGAGUGGAAGUGAUUUGCUCUAAACCCUCUCUGUAUUUAGUGGGUUCUGCAUCAAAGGACUGGCCCUGCUCCUCCAAGGGACCUGAUUUCCAUUCUCUUAUCAGCGUUUGAGGCCAGAAAAUUGUCAGGAGGAGAAGUGCAAGGGCAGUGCCAGGGGCAUCCUGAGUCCCCACAGCUCCAUCACUCUGCCCUCAGGGACCCGUCCUUACCCCCACACUCAGAUCUGGGAGCAGCAGGAAUUUGUAGGGAAAGAGAGGAGUUUGGGAUCUGAAUCUGUCCACAGCUGCUGGCUGCAUCCUCCCCCAGGACUGUGGCAUCACUCAGACUCAUGUUGAGGCCAGGGCAGGUUUAUGUGGGAUAUUAGGAAAUAUUUUUUCAUGGAAAUGAUGGUCAGGCUGCCCAGGGAAGGGUGGAGUCACCAUCCCUGGAGGGAUUAAAAAGAGAUGGAUGUGGCACCUGGGGACAUGUGGUGGCCUUGGCAGUGCUGGGGGAAUGGUUGGACCUUUGAGACCUCUUCCAGCCUGAAUGAUUCCAUGAUUCUGUGAUUUUUGGCUGCCUCUUUCCUUGCUUGCUUAUCCUCAUGGACAAGGCUCCAGGUUACCCUGCACUGAUCAAACAUGAAAAGCAGGGCCUGAGACAAAACUUGCUGAAUUUUUGAGGCAGGAGUUUUGGUCAAUUAAAGCAGCUGUACAGAAAUGCUAAAGGAGAUGUGUCAUUUUAAAUGGAUGAGGAAUUCUGGCCUUGCCAUGGCCCUGACUCUGGGUAACUGCUGAGGUGUUGGGCCUGGGCCUUAUCAGAAAGGGGAUCCCAGUUCUGCCUGAGCUCCUGCCCUGGAAUGGAAUGGAAUGGAAUGGAAUGGAAUGGAAUGGAAUGGAAUAGAAUAGAAUAGAAUAGAAUAGAAUAGAAUAGAAUAGAAUAGAAUAGAAUAGAAUAGAAUAGAAUAGAAUAGAAUAGAACAGAACAGCUGCUGGAUGUGGACCAGCAACCCUGAGGUUCUUGCUAGAGCUGGAUCCAUCUAGGCUUGAGCUCUGCACUUCAGGAAAAACACGGGGCCGUUGGCAGUGAGUGCUGGAGCUGGUGGUUGCUGGUGAUUUACCAAUGUCAGUGUUCCUGCUCCGUGGAACAGCAGGAGAGGAUGGGCCCUGAGCUGUGGUGCCUCUGAGGCUGCUCUGAGUGAGGAAAGAAUUCUCCCUCUCUAAGUGAUGCCAGGGCAAACUUCUCUAGAGGGUGGUGCAAUGAAGGAUGGAUUUGCUGAGUGACUUGGAGAAUUCUGGCCCUCUGACACCCCUUACCCAAUUCAGGAGCACUUUCACAGCUCCUGAGCAGGAGCAGUUCCUUCAGGCAGCAGGAGGAUCAAGGAGAAGGAACUUGGAGAAAAGCAUCAGAUUCCAAGGGCUCAGGAGCCCAGGGCAGCUCCUGGCAAUGAGGAGCAGCACUGCAGUGAACCAGCCACAGGAUCUAUCUGUGCCCUGUUUGUCUCUGUGAAUAUUAUCUCCUUAUUAAAAGAGGGAAAAAUAA